CCGCUUGGGUGUAUGUUUGUAAGCAGACAUCAAAACACUUUUUACACGAAUGGACACAUCCUCCGCGCAUUUGAAUUUAGGAAAUCAUGGGACCAUCUUACUGUUCUUCAACAAAUACGGGAUGCGUUUGGAUCCAGAAUCCCAGAGGAUGUCAGCCUGCAGAUUCUUAUGGGCUGUGGAAACAAGCUUGUGACUCCAAACCUACGAGAGGGUCAACUUUUCGAUGGUCACAUGAUCCACAAGGUCUUCAGGUCAAAGGCCUUGUAUGUCAGACCAUCAGGAACCAUUCUAGAUUAUAACAAUGAUACUGAAGACACCUCUAGUGUACUCCAGGGUCCUAACACUAGAUGCAAGUCAAAAGUUAAUCAACCUAAAAUGCAAGAUCUAGAAGAUUACCAGUAUGACUCAGACAGUUGCUUCGAAGUGGAUGCCACGGCCUCCAGCUGCCCCCAACCUCCAAACAGCCUCCUACCCAUCGAUGCUGCCCCAUGCUCAAAAAGUUCUCCAAACUCCAGGAUCCGCUCACCAUCCAGAUGUGGGACAGCCUCUAGCAUGGUCGCAGCCACCAAUUCCCUCCCACCGUCUGUUUACCCUGCACCAAUCAGCCACACUGUUGGCUUGGGGUCAGCUUCCUGCAAUGUUGCAGCCACCAAUUCCCUCCCACCCUCCAGUAGUGCUCCAGCCACCAGUCACUAUGUGACCACUGGUGGUGGGACAUCCAGCAGUG
ensembl:lncRNA